UCCAUCCGCUGUUUCUUGCCCGAACUUAAUCUCGGACGCGGCCUGCGCUGUUCUUUACCCACCUGUUGGUAACCCUCCAAUUCCUGAUCAGUA
ensembl:ncRNA F07C4.17 ncRNA